GUGGUUACUAAUUUACUUUAGUAGAUCUUUUUUCAGAUAUUGGCGGACACAUUUUGUAAAACUAACCCUAACCCUAAACAUUCAAACAUUGUGCAAUAUGUAUACGUCUUGAGGUGCAAACGAAAUUUGAGAGCUAUGACACCAAGACAUUAGUUUCAGAAGGAUUGAAAUGAAGAGAAGUAGUUACUAUUGGAUUUUUUUCAGCCCCUGUUCACUCACUGUAUACUUUUGUACAGAAAUGGUCAGUUUGGAUAAGUAAGCUAAAUGCCUCAUUUUGUGUUACACCUAAGAAUAAAAAGUCAUAUUGGAACAACACUAGAGUUAAUAAACGAUGUCAGAAUUUCAAUUUGGGAAGAACAUUCCCUUUAAGGUCACCAUAAAGAUCAAAUUGACCAUUGAAUAUCGCAGUAUUUAUUGUAAAUGAUUUAUCUGUGCACAUCAUUUGUUUUAAUCAAAAUAACUUCCUCUUUCCCUUGCAACAAAUUCUCUUCUCUGAAGGCAUGUUUACUGGCAUAAGGGCGGGACAACCUGUCACUCACAUGAGAUUGCGCAAAUGACAACGAUCCAAUGAUCCAAUCAAUUCCUGAUGGACAAAAUCAGGUCUCGUCGUACAUUUUUUCUUGUCCUAGGAGCCAUUUCACUCGGAUACCCCGUGCUUUAAUGAUCCCAGGUACUGAGGAACAUCUAUAAGUGCCCUUGCUGGAUAUUCUGGUUCAGGUACAGUGGAGCUAGUCCUAUAAUAAAUGCAUUAUUUGUUGAUUUCAGUGUGACAAGAGAAAACAGACUUAUUAAAUUAAAAGCUAUUGCUUACAGUACCGUCUUAUUGCCUCCUUACAUUCCUG